GACGAACCGAGCGAACGUUAUUCGGAAUCACUGGGCUUAAAGGGCGCGUAGGCGGGCCGUCAAGUCGAGGGUGAAAUCCCCCAGCUCAACUGGGGAAGUGCCUCCGAUACUGGCGGCCUCGAGGGGGAUAGGGGCAUGCGGAACUUCCGGUGGAGCGGUGAAAUGCGUAGAUAUCGGAAGGAACACCAGUGGCGAAAGCGGCUUCCUGGUCCAGCACCGACGUUCAGGCACGAAAGCGUGGGGAGCAAACAGG
rnacentral:rRNA from 1 species